AGAGUUUGAUCAUGGCUCAGGACGAACGCUGGCGGCGUGCUUAACACAUGCAAGUCGAACGGAAAGGCCCGCUUGCGGGUACUCGAGUGGCGAACGGGUGAGUAACACGUGGGCAACCUGCCCUCAGCUCUGGGAUAACUCCGGGAAACCGGGGCUAAUACUGGAUAUCGACUUCUGCCUCGCAUGGGGUGUUGUUGAAAGUUUUUCGGCUGGGGAUGGGCCCGCGGCCUAUCAGCUUGUUGGUGGGGUGAUGGCCUACCAAGGCGACGACGGGUAGCCGGCCUGAGAGGGCGACCGGCCACACUGGGACUGAGACACGGCCCAGACUCCUACGGGAGGCAGCAGUGGGGAAUAUUGCGCAAUGGGUGGAAGCCUGACGCAGCGACGCCGCGUGAGGGAUGACGGCCUUCGGGUUGUAAACCUCUUUCAGCUCUGACGAAGCGAGAGUGACGGUAGGAGCAGAAGAAGCACCGGCCAACUACGUGCCAGCAGCCGCGGUA
rnacentral:rRNA from 1 species